rnacentral:lncRNA from 1 species
UUUGCAGAGAAAUUCCAGGAGGUGAAAGAAGCUGCCAAGAUAGCCAAAGACAAGACGCAGGAGAAAAUCGAGACCUCAAGUAAUCAUUCCCAAAUAAUUCACUUUGGCCAGGAAUCUGGGCGUGAAACCCCAUCUUCUACUCAGGCAUCCAGUGUCAACGGGACGGACGAUGAAAAGGCCUCUCACGCCGGUCCAGCCAACACACACCUGAAGUCUGAGAAUGACAAGCUGAAGAUUGCCUUGACGCAGAGCGCAGCCAACGUGAAGAAGUGGGAGAUCGAGCUGCAGACCCUUCGGGAGAGCAAUGCACGGCUGACCACAGCACUGCAGGAGUCGGCAGCCAGUGUGGAGCAGUGGAAGAGGCAGUUCUCCAUCUGCCGUGAUGAGAAUGACCGGCUCCGCAACAAGAUUGAUGAGCUGGAAGAACAAUGCAGUGAGAUCAACAGAGAGAAGGAGAAGAACACGCAGCUGAAGAGGAGGAUCGAGGAGCUGGAGGCAGAGCUCCGAGAAAAGGAGACAGAGCUGAAAGAUCUCCGAAAACAAAGUGAAAUCAUA